CAGUAGCCACGGUAAUACGUAGGGUGCGAGCGUUAAUCGGAAUUACUGGGCGUAAAGCGAGCGCAGACGGUUAUUUAAGCAGGAUGUGAAAUCCCCGGGCUUAACCUGGGAACUGCGUUCUGAACUGGAUAGCUAGAGUGUGUCAGAGGGGGGUAGAAUUCCACGUGUAGCAGUGAAAUGCGUAGAGAUGUGGAGGAAUACCGAUGGCGAAGGCAGCCCCCUGGGAUAACACUGACGUUCAUGCUCGAAAGCGUGGGUAGCAAACAGGAUUAGAUACCCCAGUAGUCCCUGUCUCUUAUAA
rnacentral:rRNA from 1 species